AACGCACGAGACCUGCGGACCUGCGGAGGGAUCAUUACCGAGUGCGGGCCCUCUGGGUCCAACCUCCCACCCGUGUUUAUUGUACCUUGUUGCUUCGGCGGGCCCGCCAUUCUGGCCGCCGGGGGGCUUGCCCCCGGGCCCGCGCCCGCCGAAGACACCCUCGAACUCUGUCUGAAGAUUGUAGUCUGAGUGGAAUUAUAAAUUAUUAAAACUUUUAACAACGGAUCUCUAGAUCGGAAG
rnacentral:misc_RNA from 1 species